CCUACGGGGGCAGCAGUGGGGAAUAUUGGACAAUGGGCGAAAGCCUGAUCCAGCCAUGCCGCGUGUGUGAAGAAGGCCUUCGGGUUGUAAAGCACUUUCAGUGGGGAAGAAAGCCUUGGGGCUAAUACCCUCGAGGAAGGACAUCACCCACAGAAGAAGCACCGGCUAACUCCGUGCCAGCAGCCGCGGUAAUACGGAGGGUGCGAGCGUUAAUCGGAAUUACUGGGCGUAAAGCGCGCGUAGGCGGUCUGAUAAGCCGGUUGUGAAAGCCCCGGGCUCAACCUGGGAACGGCAUCCGGAACUGUCAGGCUAGAGUGCAGGAGAGGAAGGUAGAAUUCCCGGUGUAGCGGUGAAAUGCGUAGAGAUCGGGAGGAAUACCAGUGGCGAAGGCGGCCUUCUGGACUGACUCUGACGCUGAGGUGCGAAAGCGUGGGUAGCAAACAGGAUUAGAUACCCUGGUAGUC
rnacentral:rRNA from 1 species